UACGGAGGGUGCGAGCGUUAAUCGGAAUAACUGGGCGUAAAGCGAGCGCAGGCGGUUCCUUAAGUCUGAUGUGAAAGCCCCCGGCUCAACCGGGGAAGGUCAUUGGAAACUGGGGAACUUGAGUGCAGAAGAGGAGAGUGGAAUUCCAUGUGUAGCGGUGAAAUGCGUAGAGAUGUGGAGGAAUACCGAAGGCGAAGGCAGCCCCUUGGGAAUGUACUGACGCUCAUGUGCGAAAGCGUGGGGAGCAAACAGG
rnacentral:rRNA from 1 species